rnacentral:rRNA from 1 species
CGGGGGGAGCAAGCGUUGUUCGGAUUUACUGGGCGUAAAGGGCGCGUAGGCGGCCACCGCAAGUCGACUGUGAAAUCUCCGGGCUUAACCCGGAAAGGUCAGCCGAUACUGCGGGGCUAGAGUGCAGAAGGGGCAACUGGAAUUCUCGGUGUAGCGGUGAAAUGCGUAGAUAUCGAGAGGAACACCUGCGGCGAAGGCGGGUUGCUGGGCUGACACUGACGCUGAGGCGCGAAAGCUAGGGGAGCGAACGGGAUUAGAUACCCCGGUAGUCCUAGCCUUAAACGAUGAGUGCUUGGUGUCUGGGGUUUUAUAGUCCCCGGGUGCCGUCGCUAACGCUUUAAGCAUUCCGCCUGGGGAGUACGGUCGCAAGACUG